UAUUCUUAUGUUAAAACAAUCAUUGGUUAAUCUCACUUAACUCUACUGAUUAGAAUCCUCGAUAAUUAGAUCGAGGUGGGAAGGGUAAGGUGUUUCCAAGCAGCAAACUGGUGUCCUUAGGGUUUCCUUAGUUUCCUAAAACAAA